CAGGACGAACGCUGGCGGCGCGCCUAACACAUGCAAGUCGAACGGAGCUUGCACUUCUGAAGUUUUCGGAUGGACGAGGUACAAGCUUAGUGGCGAACGGGUGAGUAACACGUGAAGAACCUGCCCUUCAGUGGGGGACAACAGUUGGAAACGACUGCUAAUACCGCAUAAGACCACAGUACCGCAUGGUACAGUGAUCAAAGGAUUUAUUCGCUGAAGGAUGGCUUCGCGUCCGAUUAGGUAGUUGGUGAGGUAACGGCCCACCAAGCCUACGAUCGGUAGCCGGACUGAGAGGUUGAUCGGCCACAUUGGGACUGAGACACGGCCCAGAC
rnacentral:rRNA from 1 species